rnacentral:rRNA from 1 species
UACGUAGGGGGCAAGCGUUGUCCGGAAUCAUUGGGCGUAAAGAGCGUGUAGGCGGCCCGGUAAGUCCGCUGUGAAAGUCCAGGGCUCAACCCUGGGAUGCCGGUGGAUACUGUCGGGCUCGAGUCCGGAAGAGGAGUGUGGAAUUCCUGGUGUAGCGGUGAAAUGCGCAGAUAUCAGGAGGAACACCAAUGGCGAAGGCAGCUCGCUGGGAGUGUGACUGACGCUGAGACGCGAAAGCGUGGGGAGCAAACAGG